UACGUAGGGUGCAGGCGUAAUCGGAAUACUGGGCGUAAAGCGUGCGCAGGCGGUCUGCUAAGAGAGGUGUGAAAUCCCUCGGCUUAACCGGGGAACUGCGUCUGAUACUGGAUGGCUCGAGUUUGGGAGAGGGAUGCGGAAUUCCAGGUGUAGCGGUGAAAUGCGUAGAUAUCUGGAGGAACACCGGUGGCGAAGGCGGCAUCCUGGGACCAACACUGACGCUGAUGAGCGAAAGCCAGGGGAGCAAACGGG
rnacentral:rRNA from 1 species